UCACAUCUAAUUAUUGAUUGUAAAUUUAUGAUUCUGUUAGGAUUUGGUUAGAUUUGUAAUUGAUUUUUUAGUUGGAUAAGAAUUAAUAUUUAAAUAUGUUGGAGAUAAAUUAAGAUUUAAAUAUUAAUUAGAAUAUGAAUCUAACUAGAUUAGGAUAAAUAUUUAAAUCUAUUGGAGAUAAAUAAAAUAUAGAUUUAAAUAUUAAUUGGAGUAGGAAUCCUAAUUGGACUAGGAUUCGCGUACGUUUUAGAGGCUGCAUUAUAAA
rnacentral:lncRNA from 1 species